GAUGAAGAACGCAGCGAAAUGCGAUAAGUAAUGUGAAUUGCAGAAUUCAGUGAAUCAUCGAAUCUUUGAACGCACAUUGCGCCCGCCGGCACUCCGGCGGGCAUGCCUGUCCGAGCGUCAUUUCAACCCUCAGGACCCCCUUCCGGGGGGGACCUGGCGCUGGGGAUCAGCGGCCUCCGGGCCCCUGUCCCCCAAAUGCAGUGGCGGUCGCGCCGCAGCCUCCCCUGCGUAGUAGCACACCUCGCACCGGAGAGCGGCUCGGCCACGCCGUGAAACCCCCAAUUUUUCAAGGUUGACCUCGGAUCAGGUAGGAAUACCCGCUGAACUUAAGCAUAUCAAUAAGCGGAGGA
rnacentral:misc_RNA from 1 species